GACCCCAGGUCAGGCGGGACCACCCGCUGAGUUUAA
rnacentral:rRNA from 16 species